ACGGGGUGGGUGGCAAGGAGUCACGCUAGUUUCAUAAGCUGGAGUAGAGCGGUUCGAUUCCGUUACCCCGAA
rnacentral:tRNA from 1 species